AAGUCGUAACAAGGUUUCCGUAGGUGAACCUGCGGAAGGAUCAUUAAAGAGUUAGGGUCUCAACAGGCCCGACCUCCAACCCUUUGUUGUUAUAACUAUCUUGUUGCUUUGGCGGGACCGCCCGGUCAAACGGGCUGCCGGUCUUCGGCCCGGCAAGCGCCCGCCAGAGUCAAACCAAAACUCUUGUUUUAACCGGUCGUCUGAGUUAAACUUUUAAUUAUAUUAAAACUUUCAACAACGGAUCUCUUGGUUCUC
rnacentral:misc_RNA from 1 species